rnacentral:lncRNA from 1 species
CUUGGUGUAAAACGAAGCCUACCUGUUUCCUAACAAUACAUUCUUCAAUUCAUUCCAGUUCAGAUAUUAUUCACAUAAUCACAUAUUCUCCAACAGAUGUUACUUCUAUGAAUGAUUUAGUCCACUAAGUAUAAAUGUAAUCAUGAAAUCCAUCAAUCCUUUCCAAGCAAAUUGUUUCACUCAAUCACUCAAGUGUUUUAGGAGGUCACUCUUCUAUCUACUAUUCACCUGUCACAUGAAACAAAAUUGACAUUCAUCUAAGACAAUCAACAUCUUUACACACAAAUGCCAUCACAAGGACUUUUCCAAGGCUUAUAAUAUGGUUGGGCUAAUAAGAAACAUUGGUUUUUAAGAUCACAAAAUCCUUGAGUUAAGAGAGUUAUUCACAUAAUCAUAGUUCAAGCACAAACUCUCUUUUUCCUAAUCUCACUCAUUCCCAACUUUUCCUUUUUUCUUUUCUUUUACAUUGAGCUCUCUUUUCAUGCUUUUUCUUUUCUUUUCUUUCUUUUCUCAUGCUUUUUCAUUCAACACUUAAGCUCAAUGCCUUUCUUUUGCCUUUCAAUUUCCCCCAAUAACCCCAAACUUGAACCUUUAUCAACACCAC